rnacentral:rRNA from 1 species
UACGUAGGUCCCGAGCGUUGUCCGGAUUUAUUGGGCGUAAAGCGAGCGCAGGUGGUUUAUUAAGUCUGGUGUAAAAGGCAGUGGCUCAACCAUUGUAUGCAUUGGAAACUGGUAGACUUGGGUGCAGGAGAGGAGAGUGGGAUUCCAUGUGUAGCGGUGAAAUGCGUAGAUAUAUGGAGGAACACCGGUGGCGAAAGCGGCUCUCUGGCCUGUAACUGACACUGAGGCUCGAAAGCGUGGGGAGCAAACAGG